UACGUAGGGUGCAAGCGUUAAUCGGAAUUACUGGGCGUAAAGCGUGCGCAGGCGGUUUUUGUAAGUCUGUCGUGAAAGCCCCCGGGCUCAACCUGGGAAUUGCGAUGGAGACUGCAAGGCUUGAAUCUGGCAGAGGGGGGUAGAAUUCCACGUGUAGCAGUGAAAUGCGUAGAGAUGUGGAGGAACACCGAUGGCGAAGGGCAGCCCCCCUGGGCUGACACUGACGCUCAGGCACGAAAGCGUGGGGAGCAAACAGG
rnacentral:rRNA from 1 species